AGCGAACGCUGGCGGCAGGCCUAACACAUGCAAGUCGAACGAACUCUUCGGAGUUAGUGGCGGACGGGUGAGUAACACGUGGGAACGUGCCUUUAGGUUCGGAAUAACUCAGGGAAACUUGUGCUAAUACCGAAUGUGCCCUUCGGGGGAAAGAUUUAUCGCCUUUAGAGCGGCCCGCGUCUGAUUAGCUAGUUGGUGAGGUAAAGGCUCACCAAGGCGACGAUCAGUAGCUGGUCUGAGAGGAUGAUCAGCCACAUUGGGACUGAGACACGGCCCAAACUCCUACGGGAGGCAGCAGUGGGGAAUCUUGCGCAAUGGGCGAAAGCCUGACGCAGCCAUGCCGCGUGUAUGAUGAAGGUCUUAGGAUUGUAAAAUUCUUUCACCGGGGACGAUAAUGACGGUACCCGGAGAAGAAGCCCCGGCUAACUUCGUG
rnacentral:rRNA from 1 species